UAUUAUUCUAAAUAUAAUAAAAUCAACUUUAGUUAGUAAUAGAUAUUUACUUAAAAUCUAAAAAAUUUGGCGGUAAUUUAAUCUUUUCAGAGGAACUUGUUUUUUAAUCGAUAAACCGCGAAUUAUCUUACUUGUUAAAGUAUAGAAUGCUAGUUUGUAUACCAUCAUUAUCAGGUAAUUUUUAAAAAAUAAAUUAUCGGGGGUAAGUAAUUUUAAUAAAAUUAGAUCAUGGUGCAGCUGAUAAAUAAGUUAAAAUGAGUUACAAUAAACUAUUUUAUAACGGAUAGGUAAAAGAAUUUUUAUUUAUAAGGAGGAUUUGGUUGUAUUUUGAGUUUAAUAUGCUUAUAAGAUGAUAGCUCUAAAUUAUGUACAUAU
rnacentral:rRNA from 1 species